AGUGAAUAGAUACCCUGGUAGUCCACGCCGUAAACGAUGAUGGCUGGAUGUUGGCGAUACACCGUCAGCGUCCGAGGGAAACCAUUAAGCCAUCCACCUGGGGAGUACGGCCGCAAGGCUGAAACUCAAAGGAAUUGACGGGGGCCGCACAAGCGGAGGAACAUGUGGUUUAAUUCGAUGAUACGCGAGGAACCGUUACCCGGGUCGUAGAACGCACUUGGAAUGCGUGGGAAACUGCGCAGCCCGUUCGGGGUCCGGGGUGCGAGGUGCUGCAUGGUUGUCGUCAGCUCGUGCCGUGAGGUGUCGGGUUAAGUCCCAUAACGAGCGCAACCCCUAUCGCUAGUUGCCAGCGGGUCAAGCCGGGGACGUCUAGCGAAACUGCCAGCGUAAGCUGUGAGGAAGGUGGGGUAUGACGUCAAAUCAGCACGGCCCUUACGUCCGGGGUCUACACACGUGUUACAAUGGCCGGUACAGAGGGCAGCCACCCCGCGAGGGGUC
rnacentral:rRNA from 1 species